UACGUAGGGUGCGAGCGUUAAUCGGAAUUACUGGGCGUAAAGCGUGCGUAGGCGGUCGCGUAAGUCAGGUGUGAAAUCUCAGGGCUCAACCCUGAAACUGCACUUGAUACUGCGUGGCUCGGGUACUGGAGAGGAGACUGGAAUUUACGGUGUAGCAGUGAAAUGCGUAGAUAUCGUAAGGAAGACCAGUGGCGAAGGCGAGUCUCUGGACAGUUACCGACGCUGAGGCACGAAGGUCAGGGGAGCAAACGGG
rnacentral:rRNA from 1 species